CCCUAGGGAAUCUGGCCUGGGUAGUGGGGGGAUAACGUCCGGAAACGGGCGCUAAUACCGCAUACGUCCUGAGGGAGAAAGUGGGGGAUCUUCGGACCUCACGCUAUCAGAUGAGCCUAGGUCGGAUUAGCUAGUUGGUGGGGUAAAGGCCUACCAAGGCGACGAUCCGUAACUGGUCUGAGAGGAUGAUCAGUCACACUGGAACUGAGACACGGUCCAGACUCCUACGGGAGGCAGCAGUGGGGAAUAUUGGACAAUGGGCGAAAGCCUGAUCCAGCCAUGCCGCGUGUGUGAAGAAUGUCUACUGAUUGUGAAGCACUUUAAGUUGGGACGAAGGGGAGAACAGUAAUAGAGGAACAG
rnacentral:rRNA from 1 species